GAUGAACGCUGGCGGCGUGCCUAAUACAUGCAAGUCGAGCGGACAGACGUGGAGCUUGCUCCUGUGACGUUAGCGGCGGGCGGGUGAGUGACCCGUGGAUAACCUACCUAUCAGACUGGGGUAACUUCGGGAAACCGGAGCUAAUACCGGAUAAUAUAUUGAACCGGAUGGUUCAAUAGUGAAAGACGGUUUUGCUGUCACUUAUAGAUGUAUCCGCGCCGCAUUAGCUAGUUGGUAAGGUAACGGCUUACCAAGGCAACGAUGCGUAGCCGACCUGAGAGGGUGAUCGGCCACACUGGAACUGAGACACGGUCCAGACUCCUACGGGAGGCAGCAGUAGGGAAUCUUCCGCAAUGGGCGAAAGCCUGACGGAGCAACGCCGCGUGGGUGAUGAAGGCCUUCGGGUCUGAAAGCUCUGUGAUUAGGGAAGAAAAAAUGUGUAAGUAACUAUGCACGUCUUGACGGUACCUAAUCAGAAAGCCACGGCUAACUACGUG
rnacentral:rRNA from 1 species